CUUAAUUUGGGAUUUUUUUGGUGAAUUUCUUUAAAUUUGUGAAUUUUUGUCUCAAUUUUCACAGAUUUUCGUAAUUUUUUCCGGAAUUUUCUCCCUUUUCCCCCCCAGGUCGCCGAAUCCCAGGGCCUCCCCCCGGAAUCUCUCGGCCCCGCCCCCUUUUCCGCCCUUCCGGAACAUUCCGACCCCGAAUCCCAAAUCCGGCACUUCCGGGGCCGCCUCGGGGGGGUCCUCAAGGAGCUCCAGGGGGCGGAGCCUGACCCCAAAGGGGGCGGAGCCUCCCUCGGGCCGUUCUCAUUGGCCGAAGCCGCGUGGGCGUGGCUGGAGGGGGAGGGGCAGCCGGACCGCGCCCGCCGCGUUCUGAUUUUUACUGGUGUGAAACAGCUGCAGCUCCUGGCGUGCCUCAGUUUCCCCGAACGCGCGGCGGCGCUGCGGCGCAAUGGCGGCGGCCAAUGGGAGGCGCUGCAGGAGCUGCAAUGGCGGAGGCUCCGCCCCUUCCGAUUACGUCAUCAGCAGGGGGCGGAGCCUGCGCUGGACUUCCUGCGGGUUCCCCCUCAGGCCCUCGUCCGGCAGAUUUUGGCCACCCUCCCCGUGGCCAGUUGGGGUCGGGCCUUACUGGUGGCCAGUUUGGGUCGUGAACUGGGACUGGGGCUGGUGGCGGCUCCCAGUUCGGAUCCUUUACUGGUUGAACUGGUGGAGGCCGUGGGGUCCUGUCCGGACAGGGCUGCCCUGCGCAGGCGCCUGCGCUGCGAGUGCGCCGUCUGCGGCUGGGGGCUGCCCCGGCAACUGGUUUGUACUGGUUUGUACUGGUUUGGGGUUUGGGGUUACUGGUUUGUACUGGGAGGGAACUGGGAUGAACUGGGAGGGGAUUUGGGGGCACUGGGAGGGAGUUAAAGGGUUAAAAAUUGGGGAAAAUGGGGGAAAAAUGCAGAAAAUUGGGAUUUUUUUAUACUGGUUUAUACUGGUUUAUACUGGUUUGGGGUUUGGGGUUACUGGUUUGGGACUGGGAGGGACUGGGAGGGGGUUUGGGGGUACUGGGAGGGAGUUAAAGGGUUAAAAAUGGGGGAAAAAUUGGGAAAAUUGGGAUUUUUUAUACUGGUUUAUACUGGUUUUACACUGGUUUGUACUGGUUUGUACUGGUUUGGGGUUUGGGGUUACUGGUUUGGACUGGUUUGGGGUUUGAGGUUACUGGUUUGUACUGGUUUAUACUGGGAGGGACUGGGAGGGACUGGGAGGGGGUUGGGGGGCACUGGGAGGGAGUUAAAGGGUUAAAAAUGGGAUUAAAAUAGGGGAUAAAUUGGAAAAAUUGGGAUUUUUUUAUACUGGUUUGUACUGGUUUAUACUGGUUUGGGGUUUGGGGUUACUGGUUUGGACUGGUUUGGGGUUUGAGGUUACUGGUUUGUACUGGUUUAUACUGGGAGGGAACUGGGAGGGACUGGGAGGGAGUUAAAGGGUUAAAAAUGGGAUAAAAUGGGGGAAAAAUUGGAAAAUUUGGGAUUUUAUAUACUGGUUUAUACUGGUUUGUACUGGUUUAUACUGGUUUAUACUGGUUUAUACUGGUUUAUACUGGUGUGGGGCUACUGGGAUGAACUGGGAUGAACUGGGAGAGGAUUUAACAUUAAUUUAACCUUACUGGUUUAUACUGGUUCCUUACUGGUUUAUACUGGUUUAUACUGGUUUAUAGUGAAUGUGGGGCUACUGGGGCCUUACUGGGAUGAACUGGGAUGAACUGGGAU
rnacentral:lncRNA from 1 species